rnacentral:rRNA from 1 species
UCCGCAGGGUGCGACCGUUAAUCGGAAUUACUGGGCGUAAAGCGUGCGCAGGCGGCUUUGUAAGACGGAUGUGAAAUCCCUGGGCUUAACCUAGGAACUGCGUUCGUGACUGCAAAGCUAGAGUGCGGCAGAGGGGGGUGGAAUUCCUGGUGUAGCAGUGAAAUGCGUAGAGAUCAGGAGGAACACCGAUGGCGAAGGCAGCCCCCUGGGUUGACACUGACGCUCAUGCACGAAAGCGUGGGGAGCAAACAGG